rnacentral:tRNA from 1 species
CCAUUGGUGGUUUAAUGGUGGAAUUCUUGCCUCCCAUGCAGAAGACCCGGGUUUGAUUCCAGGCCAAUGCA